rnacentral:SRP_RNA from 1 species
CCGGCGGGAGCCCCGGGGGGCUAGCCCUCCCCUGUGACCGCAAACGGGCUCAUGGCGGGGGGCGUUAACCUCCGAGGGCGCCUGAAAGCCCCUCGCGCCCGGACCGCGCACCUACGGGUGCGCUCCGGGUCCGCGGGACACCCCGCUCCGUGCUAAUCCCCUCGUAGGAGGGGUGAAGCACGGGAAGGCCGAAGCGGGUUAGGCCCGGGAGGGAGCGGCCCUAAGGCCGGCGGGGUGUGUUCGCGGGUGCUCGGGGUGAGAGGUAGGUGCGGAGGACCGGCGCAGGGGGCGCAGGCCACCUCGGGGGAUGCCGCCGG